GGCCCGCACAAGCGGUGGAGCAUGUGGUUUAAUUCGAUGCAACGCGAAGAACCUUACCUGGUCUUGACAUAGUAAGAACUUUCCAGAGAUGGAUUGGUGCCUUCGGGAACUUACAUACAGGUGCUACAUGGCCGUCGUCAGCUCGUGUCGUGAGAUGUUGGGUUAAGUCCCGCAACGAGCGCAACCCUUUUCCUUAUUUGCCAGCACUUUGGGUGGGAACUUUAAGGAUACUGCCAGUGACAAACUGGAGGAAGGCGGGGACGACGUCAAGUCAUCAUGGCCCUUACGACCAGGGCUACACACGUGCUACAAUGGUCGGUACAAAGGGUUGCUACCUAGCGAUAGGAUGCUAAUCUCAAAAAGCCGAUCGUAGUCCGGAUUGGAGUCUGCAACUCGACUCCAUGAAGUCGGAAUCGCUAGUAAUCGUAGAUCAGAAUGCUACGGUGAAUACGUUCCCGGGCCUUGUACACACCGCCCGUCACACCAUGGGAGUGGGUUGCAAAAGAAGUAGGUAGCUUAACCUUCGGGAGGGCGCUUACCACUUUGUGAUUCAUGA
rnacentral:rRNA from 1 species